rnacentral:piRNA from 1 species
UAGAGGACUACACAGAGAAACUUCAGG